rnacentral:rRNA from 1 species
AACUAACAAGGAUUCCCCUAGUAACGGCGAGUGAAGUGGGAAAAGCUCAACUUUGUAAUCUGGCAGCUUCGCUGUCCGAGUUGUAGUCUCGAGAAAUGUUUUCCGCGCUGGAUCGUGUAUGAGUCUGUUGGAAUACAGCGUCAUAGAGGGUGAGAACCCCGUUCGUGACACGACUACCAGUGCUUUGUGAUACAUUUUCGAUGAGUCGAGUUGUUUGGGAAUGCAGCUCAAAUUGGGUGGUAAAUUCCAUCUAAAGCUAAAUAUUGGCGAGAGACCGAUAGCAAACAAGUACCGUGAGGGAAAGAUGAAAAGCACUUUGGAAAGAGAGUUAACAGUACGUGAAAUUGUUGAAAGGGAAACGUUUGAAGUCAGACGUGCGUUGUGCGAUUCAGCUCCGGUUCGCCGGAGUGUAUUUCGUACUAUUGCAGGCCAGCAUCGGUUUGGCGAGCCGGAUAAAGGUUAGAGAAAGGUAGCGGUUCAGGCC